UACAGAGGUCUCAAGCGUUGUUCGGAUUCAUUGGGCGUAAAGGGCGUGUAGGUGGCGCCGCAAGUCGGGUGUGAAAUUUCGGAGCUUAACUCCGAAACUGCAUUCGAUACUGCGGUGCUUGAGGACUGGAGAGGAGACUGGAAUUCAUGGUGUAGCAGUGAAAUGCGUAGAGAUCAUGAGGAAGACCAGUGGCGAAGGCGGGUCUCUGGACAGUUCCUGACACUGAGACACGAAGGCCAGGGGAGCAAACGGG
rnacentral:rRNA from 1 species